rnacentral:rRNA from 1 species
AUUGAACGCUGGCGGCAUGCUUUACACAUGCAAGUCGAGCGGCAGCGCGGGGGCAACCCUGGCGGCGAGCGGCGAACGGGUGAGUAAUGCAUCGGAACGUGUCCCGUAGUGGGGGAUAACGCCGCGAAAGCGGCGCUAAUACCGCAUAUGCUCUACGGAGGAAAGUGGGGGACCUGCAAGGGCCUCACGCUAUGGGAGCGGCCGAUGUCCGAUUAGCUAGUUGGGGGGUAAUGGCCUACCAAGGCGACGAUCGGUAGCUGGUCUGAGAGGAUGAUCAGCCACACUGGGACUGAGACACGGCCCAGACUCCUACGGGAGGCAGCAGUGGGAAUUUUGGACAAUGGGGGCAACCCUGAUCCAGCCAUGCCGCGUGCGGGAAGAAGGCCUGGUGUAACG